UUAAGCGACUAAGCGUACACGGUGGAUGCCCUGGCAGUCAGAGGCGAUGAAGGACGUGCUAAUCUGCGAAAAGCGUCGGUAAGGUGAUAUGAACCGUUACAGCCGGCGAUGUCCGAAUGGGGAAACCCAGUGCAAUUCGUUGCACUAUCGUUAACUGAAUACAUAGGUUAACGAGGCGAACCGGGGGAACUGAAACAUCUAAGUACCCCGAGGAAAAGAAAUCAACCGAGAUUCCCCCAGUAGCGGCGAGCGAACGGGGAGCAGCCCAGAGUCUGAAUCAGCUUGUGUGUUAGUGGAACGGUCUGGAAAGUCCGACGGUACAGGGUGAUAGUCCCGUACACCAAAAUGCACAGGUUGUGAACUCGAAGAGUAGGGCGGGACACGUGGUAUCCUGUCUGAAUAUGGGGGGACCAUCCUCCAAGGCUAAAUACUCCUGACUGACCGAUAGUGAACCAGUACCGUGAGGGAAAGGCGAAAAGAACCCCGGCGAGGGGAGUGAAAAAGAACCUGAAACCGUGUACGUACAAGCAGUGGGAGCACCUUCGGGUGUGACUGCGUACCUUUUGUAUAAUGGGUCAGCGACUUAUAUUCUGUAGCAAGGUUAACCGUAUAGGGGAGCCGCAGGGAAACCGAGUCUUAACUGGGCGUUAAGUUGCAGGGUAUAGACCCGAAACCCGGUGAUCUAGCCAUGGGCAGGUUGAAGGUUGGGUAACACUAACUGGAGGACCGAACCGACUAAUGUUGAAAAAUUAGCGGAUGACUUGUGGCUGGGGGUGAAAGGCCAAUCAAACCGGGAGAUAGCUGGUUCUCCCCGAAAGCUAUUUAGGUAGCGCCUCGUGAAUUCAUCUUCGGGGGUAGAGCACUGUUUCGGCUAGGGGGUCAUCCCGACUUACCAACCCGAUGCAAACUACGAAUACCGAAGAAUGUUAUCACGGGAGACACACGGCGGGUGCUAACGUCCGUCGUGAAGAGGGAAACAACCCAGACCGCCAGCUAAGGUCCCAAAGUCAUGGUUAAGUGGGAAACGAUGUGGGAAGGCACAGACAGCCAGGAUGUUGGCUUAGAAGCAGCCAUCAUUUAAAGAAAGCGUAAUAGCUCACUGGUCGAGUCGGCCUGCGCGGAAGAUGUAACGGGGCUAAACCAUGCACCGAAGCUGCGGCAGCGACACGAUGUGUUGUUGGGUAGGGGAGCGUUCUGUAAGCCUGCGAAGGUGUGCUGUGAGGCAUGCUGGAGGUAUCAGAAGUGCGAAUGCUGACAUAAGUAACGAUAAAGCGGGUGAAAAGCCCGCUCGCCGGAAGACCAAGGGUUCCUGUCCAACGUUAAUCGGGGCAGGGUGAGUCGACCCCUAAGGCGAGGCCGAAAGGCGUAGUCGAUGGGAAACAGGUUAAUAUUCCUGUACUUGGUGUUACUGCGAAGGGGGGACGGAGAAGGCUAUGUUAGCCGGGCGACGGUUGUCCCGGUUUAAGCAUGUAGGCUGAUUGUCCAGGCAAAUCCGGAUAAUCAAGGCUGAGGUGUGAUGACGAGGCACUACGGUGCUGAAGUAACAAAUGCCCUGCUUCCAGGAAAAGCCUCUAAGCAUCAGGUAACAUUAAAUCGUACCCCAAACCGACACAGGUGGUCAGGUAGAGAAUACCAAGGCGCUUGAGAGAACUCGGGUGAAGGAACUAGGCAAAAUGGUGCCGUAACUUCGGGAGAAGGCACGCUGGUGUGUAGGUGAAGUCCCUGCGGAUGGAGCUGAGACCAGUCGAAGAUACCAGCUGGCUGCAACUGUUUAUUAAAAACACAGCACUGUGCAAACACGAAAGUGGACGUAUACGGUGUGACGCCUGCCCGGUGCCGGAAGGUUAAUUGAUGGGGUUAUCCGUAAGGAGAAGCUCUUGAUCGAAGCCCCGGUAAACGGCGGCCGUAACUAUAACGGUCCUAAGGUAGCGAAAUUCCUUGUCGGGUAAGUUCCGACCUGCACGAAUGGCGUAAUGAUGGCCAGGCUGUCUCCACCCGAGACUCAGUGAAAUUGAACUCGCUGUGAAGAUGCAGUGUACCCGCGGCAAGACGGAAAGACCCCGUGAACCUUUACUAUAGCUUGACACUGAACAUUGAGCCUUGAUGUGUAGGAUAGGUGGGAGGCUUUGAAGCGUGGACGCCAGUCUGCGUGGAGCCAACCUUGAAAUACCACCCUUUAAUGUUUGAUGUUCUAACGUUGGCCCCUGACCGGGGUUGCGGACAGUGUCUGGUGGGUAGUUUGACUGGGGCGGUCUCCUCCCAAAGCGUAACGGAGGAGCACGAAGGUUAGCUAAUCCUGGUCGGACAUCAGGAGGUUAGUGCAAUGGCAUAAGCUAGCUUGACUGCGAGCGUGACGGCGCGAGCAGGUGCGAAAGCAGGUCAUAGUGAUCCGGUGGUUCUGAAUGGAAGGGCCAUCGCUCAACGGAUAAAAGGUACUCCGGGGAUAACAGGCUGAUACCGCCCAAGAGUUCAUAUCGACGGCGGUGUUUGGCACCUCGAUGUCGGCUCAUCACAUCCUGGGGCUGAAGUAGGUCCCAAGGGUAUGGCUGUUCGCCAUUUAAAGUGGUACGCGAGCUGGGUUUAGAACGUCGUGAGACAGUUCGGUCCCUAUCUGCCGUGGGCGCUGGAGAAUUGAGGGGGGCUGCUCCUAGUACGAGAGGACCGGAGUGGACGCAUCACUGGUGUUCGGGUUGUCAUGCCAAUGGCACUGCCCGGUAGCUAAAUGCGGAAGAGAUAAGUGCUGAAAGCAUCUAAGCACGAAACUUGCCCCGAGAUGAGUUCUCCCUGAGACUUUAAGUCUCCUGAAGGAACGUUAAAGACGAUGACGUUGAUAGGCCGGGUGUGUAAGCGCAGCGAUGCGUUGAGCUAACCGGUACUAAUGAACCGUGAGGCUUAACCU
rnacentral:rRNA from 1 species